GCCAGUGUGGUGUAGUGGUUGAAUGUUGGUUUUAGGGUUCCAGGAGACCAGGGUUCAAAUUCCUGCUCAGCCA